CUUUUAACUGAUACAUAUACAAUUCAUAUAUAAAUAUUGAAACAUAUACAAUCGAUAAUAAAUUCAUUGACAACCGAAGUAAUAUACAAACGGUGUCAUGUAAAUUUUCGAACUAAUGAUUCAAAUAGAAUUCUUAUUAUACAAAGCUAAAUACAAAACAACUUGGACAUGCAAAGGCAUACCUCUCGUAAUCCUCUUGGAUGAAGUUCCAUCAUCCUUUUUUUUUUUUUGAAAAGCUUGAAAUUUG
rnacentral:lncRNA from 1 species